CGCCUUGUUUGGUUGGUGGUGGUUGGGGUGCGGCGCGCCCUGCCGGCGGGAGGGGGGGCCGCGGCUAGCUCGGACAGCGGCUCUGUGGUCUUAGAGAUGACUAGACUGAUGACUAAAAGGCCCAAACUGAGUAAGGAGGCUUUAGAAGGAUUUGAUGCCAUAAACCGAUCUUCCAUCUGGAUUCUGAGGGCAUCCAUCUCUCCACUUUCCCCCAAAACACGCUUCGUGAAAGCAAACAAGAUGUCAAGGCAGUGAAUUCUGUCACCACUUACCAUGGGUAGAUCCAUUGCAAUAAGCUGGACUUUGUUUGGUUUGGGUAGAUGAAGAGGAGGCUCAAGUGCUGCUGCAAAAUCAGAUAAUUUCUCAAAUUCCAUGAAUUGUGUUGCAUCUGGAUCAAACUUCUCCCAGACUUCAUAGAACAUCUCAAAGUCAUCCUCGCUCAAGGGCUCAGCGCUUUCUUCGGUAGCAACACCAAAGUUCUCCAAAAUCACAGCAAUGUACAUGUUCACCACUACCAGAAACGAUAUGAUAAUGUAGCUGACAAAGAAGAAAAUCCCAACGGAAGGGUUGCCGCAGUCUCCUUUAACAGAGCUGCCCGGAUGAGCUUUAUAAGGGUCACAGUCUGGUUCCCCGCUGUUGAGAAUUGGGGCUAACAGGCCAUCCCAGCCAGCAGAUGUGGUAAUUUGGAAGAGACAGAUCAUGCUGUUGCCAAAUGUUUCAAAAUUGAACAUAUCAUCUAUACCGGCUUCCCUCUUGACAUAGGCAAAGUUGGACAUCCCAAAUAUGGCAUAGAUAAACAUGACCAGGAACAGCAGCAGACCAAUGUUGAACAAAGCAGGAAGAGACAUCAUCAAAGCAAAAAGCAGAGUGCGGAUGCCCUUAGCGCCCUUAAUGAGACGCAGGAUUCGACCUAUUCUGGCAAGUCGAAUGACUCUGAACAGAGUAGGGGACACAAAAUACUUUUCAAUCAUCUCAGCUAGAAACAUACCUAAAACAGGAAAAAAAAAAAAAAAAAAAAAAGAGGUUUUACCACUUAUUCUCCAUAUUAUAGUAGAAAUUUAGAUAUAAAAGUAAUUUUAAAGUUGCUGGUUACAUAUAACAAUUAAAGAUAUUCUGUAGAUUCUACUUGCCUAAUUUCCUUAUAUGACAUUUAAAAUUUGCAGGCACAAUAUAUGUUGAGGGAUAAUAGUUUUGAUUGUUGGAUUAGAUAAAUUAUUAGAGAAAAUGAAAGUUGCAUGACUUAUUUGUAAACGUUACAGUGACAAAAGCCAACCAUGCAGCCCCUUGAGUAAAUGUUCACUUUAUAUUCAUUUUACCCUCUUUUUUGUAAGUACAAUAAACAAUACUUACCAACUAUUGAGAGAAUGACAACUACAAAAUCAAAAAUGUUCCAUCCUAUGGUGAAAUAGUAAUGGCGAAGUGAAAUUAAUUUCAGUACACAUUCUCCAGUAAAAAGAACAAUGAAGACUAGGUUUAUCCAGUAUAAAAUAUUUUCCAUUUCAUCACUUUGGUCAUCAGUUUCUACCAUCAUGGUAACCAUGUUAAGACAAAUGAGAAUCAUGAUGCUGAUGUCAAAUACUUGCUGGGUCACAAAAUCAAAAACCAUGCCUUGAAAUUUGUUCUGAGGAGAAAAGAAGAAAAAAGAAACAUCCAAUAUGAAUUAUAAUUGUUUUUCUUUUCCCAUUAGUAGAAAAUUAUAUUCAGUAAUCCCUAUAAGACUUCAAUAAAAAAGUAAUUAGUGAAAUUAACUAGAAUAGUCAAAGUGAAUACAACAGCUUCAUUCAGCUUCCUUUGCAUGUAUGCAGUGUGAUCGUCUUCAUCCAUCCAUCCAUCUGGCAGAUUUAUGAAUGAAAUUUAGCUCUGUUGGGUCCUGGUUUCACCACCACAUCUUUUUUCCUUGAAGCUUUUGCCUCAGCCGCUUUCUGUUCUGUGAAAUGAAUAAGACUGAGCCCUUGCAGAAAAAAUACACAAUGAGAUAAUGUCAUUAAAGACAGUCCUUAAAGCAUAGCCGUGAAAAUGGAUGAAUGGAGAUUGCCUGAUCAAUUUUAAUUUUAUGUGUCUUAACUUCUACAGUUCUGGUUUGGCUGUCUUAGCAUUUUUUCUAAAAUUGCUUCAACUAAUCUAUCUUUGACCAGGCUACUCAUUUUUCCUCUUUUCUUUGAACUUUUUUUGCUGGAAAGUUCCAGGAGAAACAACUCAAGUUAACCAGCAAGUAUGAGAAAUUUUAAUCAAAUCUUUGCAAAGUAUAGGAAAUUUAAAAUGAAUUACGAUUGAUGGAUUACAAUCCAUGGGGAGUGUUAGGAAAUUUUAACCAGAAGUAUUUCUAACAUGAAUAGUUUAAAAAUACAAUGGUUUUGAUAAUUUUUUUGUCAAAUAUUUUGACAGAUGUCAUUGAACUCUAAGGACAUAGGCAUUUGAAUGCCUCAGGCAUUUUUGAAAAAUCUUAGCUAUCAGUAAGUGGAUGGUUUCAUUUCUGUUUUCGUUGCUGUAGUGAAAGAAGAUACAUGUCUUUUGUUUGCUUAGCAAAAGUAAAACUCUGGAAUUCACACAUGAAAUGACUGCAAGGGAAAAAAUUUUUUUCUGUGUUUUUAUACCCACUUUUGCUGACUGAUAUAUUACUUAGAGAUAAUUUGUACAUAAGCAAAUUCCUGUUCUGUAUGUAUCAAUGAAAACUGAGCUCUUCAUAAAUAACUACUGGCCUGAUGAAUAUAAAUAAUUUUACCCCUGGUCUUGGUA